rnacentral:rRNA from 1 species
GACGAACGCUGGCGGCGUGCUUAACACAUGCAAGUCGAACGGAAAGGCCCUGCUUUUGUGGGGUGCUCGAGUGGCGAACGGGUGAGUAACACGUGAGUAACCUGCCCUUGACUUUGGGAUAACUUCAGGAAACUGGGGCUAAUACCGGAUAGGAGCUCCUGCUGCAUGGUGGGGGUUGGAAAGUUUCGGCGGUUGGGGAUGGACGCGCGGCUUAUCAGCUUGUUGGUGGGGUAGUGGCUUACCAAGGCUUUGACGGGUAGCCGGCCUGAGAGGGUGACCGGCCACAUUGGGACUGAGAUACGGCCCAGACUCCUACGGGAGGCAGCAGUGGGGAAUAUUGCACAAUGGGCGGAAGCCUGAUGCAGCAACGCCGCGUGCAGGAUGACGGCCUUCGGGUUGUAAACCGCUUUCGCCUGUGACGAAGCGUGAGUGACGGUAAUGGGUAAAGAAGCACCGGCUAACUACGUG